rnacentral:rRNA from 1 species
UACGUAGGGUGCAAGCGUUGUCCGGAAUUAUUGGGCGUAAAGAGCUCGUAGGCGGUUUGUCGCGUCUGCUGUGAAAACCCGAGGCUCAACCUCGGGCCUGCAGUGGGUACGGGCAGACUAGAGUGCGGGUAGGGGAGAUUUGGAAUCCUGGUGUAGCGGUGGAAUGCGCAGAUAUCAGGAGGAACACCAAUGGCGAAGGCAGACUCUGGGCCGUAACUGACGCUGAGGAGCGAAAGCAUGGGAGCGAACAGG